rnacentral:rRNA from 1 species
GACAGAGGGUGCAAACGUUGUUCGGAUUUACUGGGCGUAAAGCGUGUGUAGGCGGCUUGGCAAGUUGGAUGUGAAGCCCACGGCUCAACCGUGGAAGCGCAUCCAAACUGCUUCGCUCGAGUCUCGGAGAGGAAGGUGGAAUGCUUGGUGUAGAGGUGAAAUUCGUAGAUAUCAAGCAGAACACCUGCGGCGAAGGCGGCCUUCUGGACGAUGACUGACGCUGAGACACGAAAGCGUGGGGAGCAAACAGG